GUUUCCGUAGGUGAACCUGCGGAAGGAUCAUUACUAUUCAGCCGUCUGCUGCCCGUGUGGCGUAGGCUGGCAGAAACCGACACCUCUCCGCCCCGCCCCCCUCCCAGGGGAAAGGGUGUGACUGUGUUAAACCCUUUGUGAACCUUCUCUUUUGCUUCGGCAGCACGUACUGCGGGUAACCGCAGGACGGUAAGGCUGUCAGAAGCCUCUUAUUAAACCAGUUGAUUGAAGUCAUGCUGUCUGAGAACUUAUGAAUUUUAAAUCAUAUUAAAACUUUCAGCAACGGAUCUCUUGGUUCUCGCAUCGAUGAAGAACGCAGCGAAACGCGAUAGGUAAUGUGAAUUGCAGAAUUCCGUGAAUCAUCGAAUCUUUGAACGCACAUUGCGCCUUCUGGUAUUCCGGGAGGCAUGUCUGUUUGAGCGUCAGCAAAACCCUCGGUCUAACGGUUUGUUAACAAGCCGACUGACCGGUAAUGGGCUUUGGGAGCGGGCCUUCCGGUCUCUCCCUGCCUUAAACCUGCUGCACGACCGCAAGCAAUUGCAACGGUUAAUGGAGUGGUGUUACAUAUCUUCCAUACAAGCCUUAGCUACCGCUUCAGCGGCGUUAAACCUAUGUUGCUUAACCGCGACCGAACGUUUGACCUCAGAUCAGAUAAGGAUACCCGCUGAACUUAAGCAUAUC
rnacentral:rRNA from 1 species